GAGGGUAUAUCUCAGUGGUGGAGAGCGUGCUUGGCAUGCACAAGGUCCUAGGUUCAAUCCUCAGUACCUCCA
rnacentral:tRNA from 1 species